CAAAUCACUUGAGUGCCAGAAAUGCAGCUUCCCUGAAGCAAAUCCAACUUUGCUUUCUGUGAGGAAGAGUGUAAUUAGGUCCUUCCUUUGGGAGCGAGUGUGGGUACCAUCUUCUGGGGGUGUUACUCAGUGCUGGUGGCUUCCCCAGUGAGAUGACAUUCCUGCAUCACCUGCUUGACUGUAGGAGCCUGCCUUUGAAAACAAGGCCACGGUGCAUGUGAGAGAAAGCAGAUGUGUGAGACUAUAGUGACAUUUGCAGAACCCGACUUUCAUCUCUCACAGUCGCACCUGGGACCAGACACCUUCACCUGCUUGGUUUUUCCAAAACAAUGCCUCUAAUGUGACACCCAGAGGAGCCAUCUCAGCUCACCUUUCAGAUGCAUGGAUCACAACAACAUGGUCAGAAAAAGGGGGUAUAUCCUCUCACUUCCAAAUUCAGCCCUGAGACAGAAUCUCAGACUCACUGGGUAUAUUUCUCUUCUUGGAUCCUUCUUCCUUCUGUGUCUGCUUCCUGGCCACCAUGACAUGAGCAGCUUUCAUUCACCCAACACUUCUACCGUGUCAUUACCGUAUUGGAGCCAGCUGACCGUGCAAGGACUGAACCCUCUCCUCUUUUAAACAGCGAAUGUCAGGAGUUUUGUCUCAGUGACAUUAAAGUGAUAAAUAUAAAGGAAAUGAUAAACAAGGCAAGAAGAUAUAUAUACAACUGAGGUAUGAUUUCCUGGUUAAGUUUGAAAACAUCACAGAUGAGUUAUUUCUGUGGUUCAAAGGCAAAUCUGAAGAUUUUCA
rnacentral:lncRNA from 1 species